rnacentral:rRNA from 1 species
GACGACGCUGGCGGCGUGGAUUAGGCAUGCAAGUCGAACGGUAUCAUCCUUUCGGGGGUGAGAGAGUGGCGAACUGGUGAGUAACACGUAGGUUAUCUACCCUCAAGACGGGACAACCCAGGGAAACUUGGGCUAAUACCGGAUGUGAGCAACUUUAGUUGUUUGAAAGGUGGCGUAAGCUGUCGCUUGGGGAUGAGCCUGCGUCCUAUUAGUUAGUUGGUGAGGUAACGGCUCACCUAGGCAAUGAUAGGUAGGCGGCCUUAACGGGUGGUCGCCCACACUGGGAUUGAGAUACGGCCCAGACUCCUACGGGAGGCAGCAGUCGAGAAUAGUCUACAAUGGUCGGAAGACUGAUAGUGCGACGCCGCGUGAACGAUGAAUCCCUUCGGGGUGUAAAGUUCUUUUAUAUGUGAGCAGUGCUUCUUAUAUUAACAGUAUGGGGAGAGAGAUAUUAGCAUAUGAAUAAGCAACGGCUAACUCCGUG